ensembl:snRNA Gm22073 U2 spliceosomal RNA
ACUGCUUCUUGGACUUCUGAAUGAGAUCAGCUAAAGUAUCUGUUUUACCAGAUACCUGAGGCAUUCUCUAUCUGAGGACAAUCGUUUAAGAGGAUUUUUGGAGCAGGAAGGGAGAACAGGAGCUUGCUUGACCCACACGCCACACAUAAUUCUGGAAUUAUAGUACCUUGAAAAAUAUUAUACCCCCU